AGCGAACGCUGGCGGCAUGCCUAACACAUGCAAGUCGAACGAAAACUUCCGGUCUAGUGGCGCUCGUGGGCGUACCGCGGGGGGACCAGCCCUUAAGUUCGGAAUCACUCCCUGAAAGGGGUGCUAAUACCGGAUAGUGUCUUCCGGCCUAAGAUUUAUCGCUUUUGGGUGGGCCCGGGUUGGAUUCGCUAGUUGGUAGGGUACAAGCCUACCAUGGCGAGGAUGCAGGGCUGGUGGGAGAGGAGGAUCAUGCACGCUGGAGAUGAGACACGGCCCAGACUCCUACGGAAGGCAGGAGUGGGGAGUAUUGGGCAAUGGACGAAGGUCUGAUAAAGCAGUGCCGCGGAAGUGAUGAAGGCGUUAGGGUUGUAAAGCUCUUUUACCCGGGAUGAGAAUGACAGUACCGGGAGAAUAAGCACCGGCUAACUCCGUG
rnacentral:rRNA from 1 species